GGUCAUUUAUUUACAACUGGACAUGUCAUUCAAGUCAGAGUAUUAUCUAAAAAUACAAAGCAAUAGGAAAUAAAUACAUUCAGUUGAAUUCGGUCAAGGUUUUACCAUAAUGUUGUACAAUCUUGAAACCUUUAUCUUGGAAAAGUUUCACAUACUAAUUUUUUGUUUACCAAUUUAUCAGUAAUAUUCUAAAGACUCAAUGCUUCAAUCAUGCAGUUUGUAAUGUAAAAAUAAACCCAUUAAGAAGUAGAACAAAAAACCCAAAGGAGGGCUGUGCAGUGAGAAAACCAAGCUGCUCAUUCUGUCCAAAGUUGUGCUGUAUUUCCUGGAGCUGCACACAGCAGACCGUGUGUCAGCGGUGGCCUGUGGUGCAGUUUUGAUGCAAAAGCGAGUGAAACAGGUAAUUGUUAUUCCUCGCCACACCUCCUUAUCCUCUAAAGCGCACCGACAUCAGUAACUGCACCUGAAACUCUGGUGCAUGUUGGAGUGGAAGGUACUUUUUAACGAAUGGAAAGCUGCACAUGCCCUUGAACACUCAUGAUGCGCUGAUGAACGCUGAGGUCUCGAGAUGUGCAAUACUCCACGGGUCCAAUUAUACACAUAUUUGAUGGUCAGGCAACAGCUGCCUGGAGGUUCAUGGAGGUGGAGCGAGAGAGUGCAAACUACCACACUCACUGCAGAAGAAAAUUGCAAACAAAAACUAUAAAUAUUAAGGUAAAGUAUUGCUGGUUAUGAACUCACAUUAACGAAUGCCUGGAUUUAAUGCCCAGUUAUAGGUUGGUACAUUGCGCUCGUGCUGCUGCUUGAUUCUGCACAAAUGAGAUGAGCUCUACGCAUCAAUCUGAGUUGAUCAAGCAGUCGAAGCGAAGCUGAUCUUGGCACGGCGAUCCGCACACCUCUUGGCAGGAGUGUCUGCUUUUGAUGCGAUGUGCCGUGUUAGGCCAAUUCCCACGGAUUAAUCUCUUCCCCAACAGCAGCGUUUAAAACACAGGCCAACAUUUGACUUUGGUGCAAAUUUGUGGAUGAACGUGCUUACUCACUGAUGCAUAUUAAACAGAAAACACUUCCUCAGGCUAGUGGAACUGAAUCUGAUUGGCUAGUUUUACACAAUUUAAACACUUAGGCUAAUCCACUUGGAAACAAAGUCACGAAAUAGCUAACGUUUGCCAGGUUAGUUGCAACAAAUCUUUGUAUGAGUUUUUUAAGCUUACUGUAAGCAUCUGUGAAAUAUGUACAUUUUCUUUACACAUUUUAAACUCCUUUUAGUGUUUUCUGUAUAUCUUUUGAAUAGGCUGCUGCAUCAUUAUUUGAAUUAUUUAUUUUCCCACUCAAGUCUGUUAUUGUGAUAUAAUGUGUUCAGACAAAUCCACAACAUUUUACACUAUUUUAUGUGUUUUCUGUACAACUUUUUGCAUAGGCUGCUGCACCAUAAUGCAAAUGAUUUAUUUUUCCAUUUCAGUCUGUUAUUGUGGUAUAAUCUCUUCAGACAACCCUGCAAUAUUUUACACUAUUUGUAAUAUAUGUGUGGCAUAAUAGGUAAGAUGGGCGUGAUUUCCCGAAUUGAAUUGUUAGGGCGGGCAUUUUUGCGUCAUUGAUUGUACAGUCUAUAAAAGCCAUUGGCUUCUGUAUCUGGGCAGGCAUCAUUUCCCGGAUGGGGUAGGGCUUCUGCAGUUUCUGCUGAACGUGACCGUGGGUAAGUAAAGGUGGGUUAAGGCAGCCUUUGGUGUAUUUCACGGCUUGUUUUAUUCUGGGUUUGGUGUUUUGGUUGGUUUGCGUUAGUAUCUGGUCUGUGCUCUCGUUGGUGGGAGAGCGGCUGCGUGUACAGCCUUGUUUGGCGUUUAGCCGCGGCUGCGCUGUUCGGCUGAUGAAUGUGAUCGCAUCGGUCCUCCUCCAGAAAUCAUUUGGGUGGAUAAUAUCCCCGCAGUGGCGGCACCGCUGUCUCGUUCCAGGUCGAACUUCAUUGAGUCUGUGUGUGCGUUGAGUCCCGGUCGUGUUGUUGGACCUAUGCCAACGGACUUUGUCUUAGUUGUGUACAGGUUUUGUGUCUGAAAGAGCUGCUGGCCUUUAUUGACCAGGGUCGAUGAUCUCCUCUUUAGACGGUGGUGGUGGUGGUUCUUCAUUGUGUGUUGUGGCCUUUGGCAUGCACUGGGGUUUUUAUUUUGGUAUGUGAGUGUGUUAUGUAGAUUAGGAGCCCUUUCUGGAAAGUCUUUCCUGUACUUUAGGCCACAGCUCC